UACAGAGGUCUCAAGCGUUGUUCGGAUUCAUUGGGUUUAAAGGGCGCGUAGGUGGCCUUAUAAGUCAGUGGUGAAAUCUCUGGGCUUAACCCAGAAAUUGCCAUUGAUACUGUAGGGCUUGAGUAUAGUUGCCGUUGGCGGAAUAUGACAUGUAGUGGUGAAAUACAUAGAGAUGUCAUAGAACACCGAUUGCGAAGGCAGCUAACGAAACUAUAACUGACACUGAGGCUCGAAAGUGCGGGGAUCAAACAGG
rnacentral:rRNA from 1 species